AUGAACGCUAGCUACAGGCUUAACACAUGCAAGUCGAGGGGCAGCAUGGUCUUAGCUUGCUAAGGCCGAUGGCGACCGGCGCACGGGUGAGUAACACGUAUCCAACCUGCCGUCUACUCUUGGACAGCCUUCUGAAAGGGAGAUUAAUACAAGAUGGCAUCAUGAGUCCGCAUGUUCACAUGAUUAAAGGUAUUCCGGUAGACGAUGGGGAUGCGUUCCAUUAGAUAGUAGGCGGGGUAACGGCUCACCUAGUCUUCGAUGGAUAGGGGUUCUGAGAGGAAGGUCCCCCACAUUGGAACUGAGACACGGUCCAAACUCCUACGGGAGGCAGCAGUGAGGAAUAUUGGUCAAUGGGCGAGAGCCUGAACCAGCCAAGUAGCGUGAAGGAUGACUGCCCUAUGGGUUGUAAACUUCUUUUAUAAAGGAAUAAAGUCGGGUAUGGAUACCCGUUUGCAUGUACUUUAUGAAUAAGGAUCGGCUAACUCCGUGCCAGCAGCCGCGGUAAUACGGAGGAUCCGAGCGUUAUCCGGAUUUAUUGGGUUUAAAGGGAGCGUAGAUGGAUGUUUAAGUCAGUUGUGAAAGUUUGCGGCUCAACCGUAAAAUUGCAGUUGAUACUGGAUAUCUUGAGUGCAGUUGAGGCAGGCGGAAUUCGUGGUGUAGCGGUGAAAUGCUUAGAUAUCACGAAGAACUCCGAUUGCGAAGGCAGCCUGCUAAGCUGCAACUGACAUUGAGGCUCGAAAGUGUGGGUAUCAAACAGGAUUAGAUACCCUGGUAGUCCACACGGUAAACGAUGAAUACUCGCUGUUUGCGAUAUACUGCAAGCGGCCAAGCGAAAGCGUUAAGUAUUCCACCUGGGGAGUACGCCGGCAACGGUGAAACUCAAAGGAAUUGACGGGGGCCCGCACAAGCGGAGGAACAUGUGGUUUAAUUCGAUGAUACGCGAGGAACCUUACCCGGGCUUAAAUUGCAGAUGAAUUACGGUGAAAGCCGUAAGCCGCAAGGCAUCUGUGAAGGUGCUGCAUGGUUGUCGUCAGCUCGUGCCGUGAGGUGUCGGCUUAAGUGCCAUAACGAGCGCAACCCUUGUUGUCAGUUACUAACAGGUUCCGCUGAGGACUCUGACAAGACUGCCAUCGUAAGAUGUGAGGAAGGUGGGGAUGACGUCAAAUCAGCACGGCCCUUACGUCCGGGGCUACACACGUGUUACAAUGGGGGGUACAGAGGGCCGCUACCACGCGAGUGGAUGCCAAUCCCCAAAACCUCUCUCAGUUCGGACUGGAGUCUGCAACCCGACUCCACGAAGCUGGAUUCGCUAGUAAUCGCGCAUCAGCCACGGCGCGGUGAAUACGUUCCCGGGCCUUGUACACACCGCCCGUCAAGCCAUGGGAGCCGGGGGUACCUGAAGUGCGUAACCGCGAGGAGCGCCCUAGGGUAAAACUGGUGACUGGGGCU
rnacentral:rRNA from 1 species